GAUGAACGCUAGCGGCAGGCCUAACACAUGCAAGUCGAGGGGCAGCACAUAAAGCGGUUUACUACUUUUGGUGGCGACCGGCGGACGGGUGCGUAACGCGUAUGCAACCUGCCUCCAACAGGGGGAUAACGGAGAGAAAUUUCCACUAAUACCCCAUAAUAUCAGAAUCGGAAUCGGAUUUGGUUGAAAACUCUGGUGGUUGGAGAUGGGCAUGCGUUGUAUUAGAUAGUUGGUGAGGUAACGGCUCACCAAGUCAACGAUACAUAGGGGGACUGAGAGGUUAGCCCCCCACACUGGUACUGAGACACGGACCAGACUCCUACGGGAGGCAGCAGUGAGGAAUAUUGGUCAAUGGGGGCAACCCUGAACCAGCCAUGCCGCGUGCAGGAAGACGGCUCUAUGAGUUGUAAACUGCUUUUACAAGGGGAUAAAUCGGUGUACGUGUACACCGUUGAAGGUACCUUGGGAAUAAGGAUCGGCUAACUCCGUGCCAGCAGCCGCCGUAA
rnacentral:rRNA from 1 species